AUUGAACGCUGGCGGAAUGCUUUACACAUGCAAGUCGAACGGCAGCACGGGGGCAACCCUGGUGGCGAGUGGCGAACGGGUGAGUAAUACAUCGGAACGUGCCCGGUCGUGGGGGAUAACGUAGCGAAAGUUACGCUAAUACCGCAUACGAUCUGAGGAUGAAAGCGGGGGACCUUCGGGCCUCGCGCGAUCGGAGCGGCCGAUGUCAGAUUAGGUAGUUGGUGGGGUAAAGGCCUACCAAGCCGACGAUCUGUAGCUGGUCUGAGAGGACGACCAGCCACACUGGGACUGAGACACGGCCCAGACUCCUACGGGAGGCAGCAGUGGGGAAUUUUGGACAAUGGGCGCAAGCCUGAUCCAGCCAUUCCGCGUACAGGACGAAGGCCUUCGGGUUGUAAACUGCUUUUGUAUGGAACGAAAAGGCUCUGGCUAAUACCUGGGGCUCAUGACGGUACCGGAAGAAUAAGCACCGGCUAACUACGUG
rnacentral:rRNA from 1 species